rnacentral:rRNA from 1 species
UACGUAGGGGGCGAGCGUUGUCCGGAUUUAUUGGGCGUAAAGCGCGUGCAGGCGGUUCGUUAAGUCCGUUGUGAAAGCUCCUGGCUCGACUGGGAGAGGUCUUCGGAUACUGGCGAGCUCGAGGGAGGCAGAGGAAGGUGGAAUUCCGGGUGUAGUGGUGAAAUGCGUAGAGAUCCGGAGGAACACCAGUGGCGAAGGCGGCCUUCUGGGCCUUGCCUGACGCUGAGACGCGAAAGCGUGGGGAGCGAACCGG